CAGGCAGUGGUAUCUGUGAGCAGCUCUGUGGACUCAAAGGUUUUCUCCCUGAGAGGCAUGACCCAGGCCAGCUGAUUCAUCAGAAUCAGGAUGGACGUGGUAGAGGUCGCGGGUAGUUGGUGGGCACAAGAGCGAGAGGACAUCAUUAUGAAAUACGAAAAGGACACCGAGCUGGGCUGCCAGAGGACAAGGGGCCUAAGCCUUUUGGAAGAUACAACAACAAUGUCGAUCAUUUGGGGAUUGUACGGGGCAGCUCUUCCGUCGUUCCUUGCAGACCCUAGGUCAGGCCAGAAAACACCUCUAUGGCCCUUCCCUGUGUCCCACCACCGGAUAGGACCUCAAAGGCCUGGGGUCCCCAGGAUGGCCCUCAAACCGACUGGUGCCCUUGCAGGCUGCCACCCUCCAAGUCCUGCUUCUCUCCAGAGAUGGGCAGGAGCACCAGCCCUCACCUGGCACCAGCACUUUACUGGGGGAACAUAAUAUGGUCUAAGAAGAGAUUUUUCCAGCAAGAGGCCAUCUCUGCAAAUCACCUGUGAGGCAGACCUGUGGCAAUUUUAUGACUCAGCUGGACACCGGGAUUGUAGCUGGGUUCUGCCCCUUAUUGAAACCUACUCAAUGUUCUCCUUCCCUAAGUAGGACAAGACCGUACCCUGCCUUUAAGGUUUAUAGAAUAGAAAGUGAAAACACUUUGGGGAAGAAAAUCUUCCUGAACUGAUAGCCCAGGGCAUUUUGAAAAUCCCUUAGGAAGUUCUCUGUUUCACUUGGGUACCUUUGUCCUUGGACUUUGGUGAUGUGGUUUGACCCCAGCUAGAGAGUGCAGGGAACAACAGCAAAAGGCAGGACAAAGACAGACUCGUGAGAGGAGGCCUAGGAACAGGGGGCCAUUGUGAAUGAGGAGGACGUGGGGGCCCAAGAAAGUGAGCAAAAGAGGACAGGGCUUGCGCACUCAGUCACCAGCCCCCUUCUGGGGUCCAAGCUGUGUCCCCUUCUCUAAAGAGGUAAGCCCUGAGUCAUGGGAAGAUGGAAACCGGGGCUGAUGAGACAGGAUGUUUUUUAAGCACCGUGGUAUCUUGUUGACUUGCACAUGCAAGGGGGUCUUGGGUAACCACAGGGCUCAGGGUAUUUGCAGGAACAGUUCAAGUGCUCACUUGUCUUGGGGCUGUUUAUGGGGAAGUGGUUUCCACAGUGAGAGGAGGUGAGAUAUUGUUGUCACCCUGGACCACACUUAGCUACUUCCUUCUCACUAAAGCUCUGUAGUCAUAUUUUCCCCUGGCAGAGCAGAAACUUCUAUGUUAUCCCACAGCUGUUCUAACGGUGUAGACUUGACUUAUGCAAUGAUGCCAGAAGUCCUGAGCAGCACAGCCCAACUUCAAUCACACACAGAUGGACAGAGCUGUAUUAGCAAAGCCUGAGCUACUGAGCGAUGAAGAGUACAGCCAGGCUUUCAGACAUCUGUUCAUUCAAGAGAGAUAUGCGCUAAGCAAAGGACCUAAAGAUGUGUUUAAUGUGGGUGCUAAUGUGCA
rnacentral:lncRNA from 1 species